GUUAUGCAUAUUGUUAGAGUAAAAUAUCUAUUUCUCCUCAUCUUCCUUCUCGAGUAUUCUGUAUCCUCUCAUCCUCAUUCUUAGUAUGAGUUUCUCAUCCCUUCUUCUCUAUCAUUUGUAUUUCUGUUUAGCAUUUCUAAUUCCUAUAAUAGUUUUGAGUUGAGUUGUAAUCCCUUUUGCGGUUGAAGUAAUAGAAGUGUUGAAUAACUGGUUUGUUACGAUGACGAUGUUUAUUCCUAGAUUCAGUGGCGAUAGCAACCUGGAAAGCUGGAAUUUUCGAGCCGAGUUAUACUUCGCAUUCCUUGGCUUCUCCAAGAAGGAUUGACUGUCUCUUCCUUCCUUCUACCUAGAAGGCGAUUCCUCGGUUCAAUUGGUUAUUUCGCAAUAACCAAUUCUAUGAUUGGAACCAUUUCAAGGAGAAAUUUCUUCUGCAUUUUCAGACACCGACCUUCACUGAUUCAGCGAGAACGACAGAUAUUUCAGUAGCUUGUGUUGACUACAUGAGUUGUGCUACAGUGGUUCUACCGUCGACUUAUGUGUCUCCUUUUGCUGCUCAGAGUCAUAUUCCCAGCUUUUAUGAGCCUUCAUCUACUCAAAUCCCGGAAACUCAUGAACCCAAGGUUCGUCUAGUUGAUAGAGACAAGUAUGCGACUGUCAUAGACGAGGUGUUUGAUGAAACCUCCCCAAGUAAUGUGACUGCAAUGCAUUCUCAAUUUUCAAAUGAUGAAGCUCAAUUAGUUCCUCAUGUUGGACGAGAUUCUUUCAUGCCUAAAGUGAUUGGACAAAUUGAUACUUUGUCUAUAGAUUCUAAAAUAUCUUUCGAUGCAAUGAAGAUAAACUUUGAUUCAGGCGAUGGAGAAUCAGAGGAGGAUCGGCGAGGCUGCACUAAGGUGGAGGAAAAUUUAAGCAACGGUGCAGAUCAGGUGGUUGAUAAAAAUCCUCAACAAAAUACCAACGAACAACUCAUUCGAUUUGCACCUAUGAUUAUGGAUCUUUUUGCUACCUUGGUCCCAGGUGAUAAGUUUCCUUUUUGUCAAAUACUCAUCGUGCUUGUUAGUGUCAAUUUGAACUAUGGCCAUAUGCAUGAUAUUUAUUAUUGUUGUCAUAUGAGAGCUUGCACGUAUCUUUACUGUGCCUAUGAAUCAAGAAUAGGGAUUAUCCCGUUUUGUAGUUGUGUGGACGAUUGGUUUGACAGAUGACAAGAUUUUAAGGCUGAAUCAUGUGUACUUUUAUAUAUUGAAUCUGAAGAUUUAUAUCGAAAUGAGGAGUUUUUAAAGACAAAGGUCAUCACCUCUAAUAUUGAACAAUUUGGAGGAUGGACAGUUUGGAGGAAAUUUUCUAUCCUUAGGCUUUCACUGUAAACCAACUUUGAAGGAAGAAUUUAAAAAUAUAUUGUUGUUCCAACAUGAUUUCAAAAUUCAUUUAGACUAUUGGUGUGACAAUGGACGAGGACACUUGUUGUGCAAAUUGCGAGUGCCUGCUCGGGAGGAGAAAGUACAGGGGGUGCUCCAGGAAAUUGCUCAAAGUUAUUCCAAGCAGUCACCAAAUAUUUGGGUCAAUAGAGUCAUUAGGAUCUUGUUUGCGAUGUCUGGUCUAGUUCAUAAAGCAAGGUCUACUUCGCCGUAUAUUAUUUUUGAUCCUGGUGGGGUUAAUACUUCUCUUUGUGCGACGAGCGAGCAAUUGCCCUUUAGAUUAGUGAAAGACCUCACCAUAGAAUAUUAUGAUGCCACACAACAUCACAUGAAGACGCAGCCCGGAGUAGCUGCACUUGCUGCCAUGUUACAUGGUGGGAAGUACUAGAAUUGAAGAGUGCGUAUAAAUUAAAGCUUCAGGCAGUGCAAGGUGUUAGUUACACAUUUUUCGGUGUCACGAAAAAGGGUGCAAUCGAGAGAUAUGGUGGAGAGCAAGCUUCUAAAAUUAUUUAUCCGUACUUCAAGGUGGAUAAUUCUAGCGUCGACAGGUCUGAACAUGUUAAGGGGUGUUGUCUGUAUUAUGGUGCUUUCAGAAUUCCUUUUGAUCCUAACAAUGCUCUUGAUGGAGUUCUUGGCAUCCAAUUAUCCGAGGCUAUUCCUUACAUUGUGGCAUAUCAUGUGAAUAUUGCUUUUGAUAGAGAAGGAAAUGACUCUAUUGUGACCAUAAUGGAUUUCACUGCGGACUCCUUUCCACUAGUGCAAGCUAACACAAUGACUCUUUCCUUUUCACCAGGAACUUAUGCCGAAGAAGAAUGGACAUCAAAGGGCAUUGCAGAUACUAUAACCAUUUUGAUAAGCUAUAUGAGGAUGUCUAUUUCUGUAUGCAUUACAUUGGGUGAUAAUCCAUGCUUAUCCUCUUCUUAUAAUUCAUUACGGUUAAAUGAUUUGACUGAUUGAGAAAUUUACAAUAACUUGGAGGGAGAGUUUCAAGUGCCGCAAAAAGUCAGUUUCCAUUUAACCAAGUUUAUGCUUUGGAGGAGGUUAGCUACUGGAAUGUUUACCUGGGAUCUCUCAUUUAGCUUACGGCUAAAUGCUUCUACAAGGUGGCAAGCAAAGACAUAUAUAUGGAAGAUUACAAUGGCACUCCAGUUAAUACAUCUGCUGCUAUCUAUUAAGGUUUCUUGAUCAAACUAGGUGGUUCGCUAGUGUCCUGGAAAUCUAAGAAGCAGACAACAAUAUCUAGAAGUUCUGCUGAAGCAGAAUACAAGAGCUUGGCAGCCACAAUUGCUGAAUUGGUUUGGCUAGUGAGGCUGAUAAAGGAGAUAGGAGUUGAGGUUUAGUUGCCUGUGAACAUUCAUUGUGACAGCAAGGCAGCAAUACAGAUUGCGGCAAAUCCAGUAUUUCAUGAACGAACAAAACAUAUUGAUAUAGAUUGUCAUUUUAUAAGGGAGAAGAUAUUAGAAGGACUGGUUGCGACCAAGUAUGUUGGAACAAGAGAACAAUACGCUGAUUUGUUGACAAAGGGAUUAAGCAGAAUUCAACAUGUGUACUUGAGUUCCAAACUAGGUGUGUUUGAUGUGUUUACACCGCCUAGCUUGAGGGAGAGUGUUGUGAGAGGGGUGACUUAAUGUAUAACUAAUUAAGGGUAGUUUAGUCUAUUUAACACUAGGUAGUUAGGAGUCCAAAGUCGGUUAGUCAUUUCUAUAAAUAGGGGUCGUUUGUGCAGUGUAUUUUCAGUUUUAACAGAAUCAGUUUCUGCAUUUUUAAUUCAGUCCAUUCCCUUCUUCUCUUC